rnacentral:misc_RNA from 1 species
GAUGAAGAACGUAGUGAAAUGCGAUAAGUAGUGUGAAUUGCAGAAUUCAGUGAGUCAUCGAAUCUUUGAACGCACAUUGCGCCCCUUGGUAUCCCGAGGGGCAUGCCUGUUCGAGCGUCAUUUCACCACUCAAGCCUGGCUUGGUGUUGGGCGACGUCCCCUUUGGGGACGCGCCUCGAAACGCUCGGCGGCGUGGCACCGGCUUUAAGCGUAGCAGAAUCUUUCGCUUUGGAAGUCGGGGCCCCGUCUGCCGGAAGACCUACUCGCAAGGUUGACCUCGGAUCAGGCAGGGAUACCCGCUGAACUUAAGCAUAUCAAUAAGCGGAGGA